rnacentral:rRNA from 1 species
AGAGUUUGAUCCUGGCUCAGGAUGAACGCUAGCGGCAGGCCUAAUACAUGCAAGUCGAACGGUAGCAGACCCGGCAACGGGUGCUGACGAGUGGCGCACGGGUGCGUAACACGUAUGCAACCUACCCUGUACUGGGGGAUAACCCUGAGAAAUCGGGGCUAAUACCCCAUGGCAUUAUGAAGUGGCAUCACUUUAUGAUUAAAGAUUCAUUGGUACGGGAUGGGCAUGCGCCCCAUUAGUUAGUUGGUGAGGUAACGGCUCACCAAGGCAGUGAUGGGUAGGGGUUCUGAGAGGAUUAUCCCCCACACUGGUACUGAGACACGGACCAGACUCCUACGGGAGGCAGCAGUAAGGAAUAUUGGGCAAUGGAGGCAACUCUGACCCAGCCAUGCCGCGUGCAGGAAGACUGCCCUAUGGGUUGUAAACUGCUUUUGUAUGGGACUAACCGUGGUUACGUGUAACUGCCUGCAUGUACCAUACGAAUAAGCAUCGGCUAACUCCGUGCCAGCAGCCGCGGUAAUACGGAGGAUGCGAGCGUUAUCCGGAAUUAUUGGGUUUAAAGGGUGCGUAGGCUGACAAGUAAGUCAGUGGUGAAAUACCCCGGCUUAACC